GAUGAACGCUGACAGAAUGCUUAACACAUGCAAGUCUUUGGCGAAGCUGUGCUUGCACAGCCUAGCCAAGGCGGACGGGUGAGUAACGCGUAAGGAACUUGCCCUGCAGUCAGGGAUAACAGACGGAAACGACUGAUAAGACCUGGUAAAGUCAGGCGGACUCAUGUCCAGCCUGAUGAAAAGAGAUGCUGCAGGAGAGCCUUGCGUCCUAUUAGCUUGUUGGUGGGGUAACGGCCCACCAAGGCGAUGAUAGGUAGCCGGCCUGAGGGGGUGGACGGCCACAGGGGGACUGAGAUACGGCACUUACUCCUACGGGAGGCAGCAGUGGGGAAUAUUGGACAAUGGGGGCAACCCUGAUCCAGCAAUUCUGUGUGCACGAUGAAGGUUUUCGGAGUGUAAAGUGCUUUCAGCAGGGAAGAAAAAAAUGACGGUACCUGCAGAAGAAGCGACGGCUAAAUACGUG
rnacentral:rRNA from 1 species